rnacentral:tRNA from 1 species
UGUGUAACCCAGUUGGUAGAGUUCUUGCCUAGCAUGUGCAAGAAGCCUUGGGUUUGAUUCCCAGCACA